rnacentral:lncRNA from 1 species
UCUGGUUUAGCAAGGAAUGAUUUAGUAGGCACCAUCGGCUCAGCACUUGGUUUUUCUUCUUUGGCAAAGCUUGGUCUAGCGGCAGAUGAACUAGCUCCAAAAGUUGAUCGAGAUCCUCUCCUCUUGAGUUGUUGUUCGACUAGAAUGGCUUUGUGAUAUAUCUCCUCUAGAUCAGCAUAGCUUUGCAUCUCCACUCUGUCUUGAACUUCUCGGUUUAACCUACUCAAGAACCUAGCGAUGGUUGCUUCUCUAUCUUCUUC